UCAGGCCUAACACAUGCAAGUCGAGCGAGAAAGUGGAGCAAUCCAUGAGUACAGCGGCGUACGGGUGAGUGACACGUGGAUCAUCUGCCCUUGACUCUGGGAUAACUGCGGGAAACUGUAGCUAAUACCGGAUAUCGUACCUGGGGGCAUCCCUGGGUACUGAAAGAAUUUUGGUCAAGGAUGAGCUCGCGGCCUAUCAGCUUGUUGGUGAGGUAAUGGCUCACCAAGGCGACGACGGGUAGCCGGCCUGAGAGGGUGACCGGCCACACUGGAACUGAGACACGGUCCAGACUCCUACGGGAGGCAGCAGUGGGGAAUAUUGCACAAUGGGCGAAAGCCUGAUGCAGCAACGCCGCGUGAGGGAUGAAAGCGUUCGGGUUGUAAACCUC
rnacentral:rRNA from 1 species